CUUUGCUUCCAUAAUAUAUGCUUGCUUUCCAAUCCUAGAAAAUUCUUUAUUAUACAUCCGUAUGUGCUGGGUUGUGACAAUCAUCGUCUGUGGUUGAAGCUGAAAAGUUAUUGAAAUGGAGAAUCAGAACACAGGGGAUAAGAAGUUUGAGAAGUUUACAUGGACAAUUAGGAACUUCUCUAAAUUGGACACCAACAAGUUAUAUUCAAAGAAUUUUUCUCUAGAUAACCAUACAUGGCGAAUUGCGAUCUUUCCAAAGGGAAACAAAGGGCCUGACUUGUCUAUAUUUUUAGAUGCUGGUGGAGAUCUUGCUAAUUUACCAGAUAGCUGGAACAAAUUUGCAAAAUUUAAGUUGGCUUUAAUUAAUCAAGUCAAUGACAAAAUGACGAUAA